rnacentral:misc_RNA from 1 species
GAAAUGCGAUAAGUAAUGUGAAUUGCAGAAUUCAGUGAAUCAUCGAAUCUUUGAAUGCACAUUGCGCCCCCUGGUAUUCCGGGGGGCAUGCCUGUUCGAGCGUCAUUUCACCACUCAAGCCUCGCUUGGUAUUGGGCAACGCGGUCCGCCGCGUGCCUCAAAUCGACCGGCUGGGUCUUCUGUCCCCUAAGCGUUGUGGAAACUAUUCGCUAAAGGGUGCUCGGGAGGCUACGCCGUAAAACAACCCCAUUUCUAAGGUUGACCUCGGAUCAGGUAGGGAUACCCGCUGAACUUAAGC